CUCUGUGUGAGAAGGGCAAGUACACCUGCUGAAUUUAAGCAUAUAAGUAGGUAGAGGAAU
rnacentral:rRNA from 1 species